AAAGUAUAAAAAAAAAAAAAAAAAAAAAAAAAAAUCUGUUCUUAUCAGUUUAAUAUCUGAUACGUCCCCCAUCCGGGGACUACAUAUUAAAUGGAUUUUUAGAUCACGGAGCUGGAGCCGGGGCUUGCUCCGUCCGCUCCAUGCAUCGGCCUGGUAUUGCAGUGUCUCCAGGAACGGUGUGCUUUCC
rnacentral:snRNA from 1 species